CAGCACGGGAGCAAUCCUGGUGGCGAGUGGCGAACGGGUGAGUAAUAUAUCGGAACGUGCCCAGUCGUGGGGGAUAACGCAGCGAAAGCUGUGCUAAUACCGCAUACGAUCUACGGAUGAAAGCGGGGGAUCGCAAGACCUCGCGCGAUUGGAGCGGCCGAUAUCAGAUUAGCUAGUUGGUGAGGUAAAGGCUCACCAAGGCGACGAUCUGUAGCUGGUCUGAGAGGACGACCAGCCACACUGGAACUGAGACACGGUCCAGACUCCUACGGGAGGCAGCAGUGGGGAAUUUUGGACAAUGGGCGCAAGCCUGAUCCAGCAAUGCCGCGUGCAGGAUGAAGGCCUUCGGGUUGUAAACUGCUUUUGUACGGAACGAAACGGCGAGCUCUAAUACAGUUUGCUAAUGACGGUACCGUAAGAAUAAGCACCGGCUAACUACGUGCCAGCAGCCGCGGUAAUACGUAGGGUGCGAGCGUUAAUCGGAAUUACUGGGCGUAAAGCGUGCGCAGGCGGUUAUGUAAGACAGAUGUGAAAUCCCCGGGCUCAACCUGGGACCUGCAUUUGUGACUGCAUAGCUAGAGUACGGUAGAGGGGGAUGGAAUUCCGCGUGUAGCAGUGAAAUGCGUAGAUA
rnacentral:rRNA from 1 species